CGUAAACCUGGGGAAGGCUGGCCGGGCGCAGGGUCGCGCUGAAGAGGGGCAAGUGAGAGCGGAGGGAAUGGAGACUGCUGCUUGUCUAUCAGUGUUGUCUCUGGAAGAUGAGGAACUACCUGAGGCAAGGUCAUGUCCUUGCUUUCAAAGAACUUUGACAUGAAAAGGAAGGUUUUGCUCUUUACUUGGAGUUACCCAGCUGGUUCGUGACGGGCCUAGAAAUGCAUCGCUCUAACUGCUACUCCAGUGGUCCUUCGAUCCUAUCAAGAGCAAAGUUCAUACGUGUAAUAAAUUAUGAAGUGAGUACCAAGUCCAUAUCUGUUGAGCCAGCAUCAACU